AGAUUGAACGCUGGCGGCAUGCCUUACACAUGCAAGUCGAACGGCAGCACGGACUUCGGUCUGGUGGCGAGUGGCGAACGGGUGAGUAAUAUAUCGGAACGUACCCUAGAGUGGGGGAUAACGCAGCGAAAGUUGCGCUAAUACCACAUACGAUCUACGGAUGAAAGUGGGGGCUCGCAAGACCUCAUGCUCGUGGAGCGGCCGAUAUCUGAUUAGCUAGUUGGUAGGGUAAAGCCUACCAAGGCAUCGAUCAGUAGCUGGUCUGAGAGGACGACCAGCCACACUGGGACUGAGACACGGCCCAGACUCCUACGGGAGGCAGCGAGUGGGGAAUUUUGGACAAGUGGGGGCAACCCGUGAGUCCAGCAAGUGCCGGCGUCGGAGUAGAAGAAGGCCGUUACGGGUUAGUAAAGUCGUUAC
rnacentral:rRNA from 1 species